UACGGAGGGUGCGAGCGUUGUCCGGAAUCACUGGGCGUAAAGGGCGCGUAGGCGGCCUGAUAAGUAGGGGGUGAAAUCCUGCGGCUUAACCGCAGGGCUGCCUUCUAAACUGUCGGGCUGGAGCACAGUAGAGGCAGGUGGAAUUCCCGGUGUAGCGGUGGAAUGCGUAGAGAUCGGGAAGAACAUCGGUGGCGAAGGCGGCCUGCUGGGCUGUUGCUGACGCUGAGGCGCGACAGCGUGGGGAGCAAACAGG
rnacentral:rRNA from 1 species